rnacentral:rRNA from 1 species
AGAAUCAACGCUGGCGGCGUGCCUAACACAUGCAAGUCGAACGAGAAAGUGGAGCAAUCCAUGAGUAAAGUGGCGCACGGGUGAGUAACACGUGACUAACCUACCCUGGAGUGGGGGAUAACUGAGGGAAACCUUAGCUAAUACCGCAUAACACUUACGAGUCAAAGCAGCAAUGCGCUUGGAGAGGAGUUCGCGGCCGAUUAGUUAGUUGGCGGGGUAAUGGCCCACCAAGACGAUGAUCGGUAUCCGGCCUGAGAGGGCGCACGGACACACUGGAACUGAAACACGGUCCAGACUCCUACGGGAGGCAGCAGUGGGGAAUUUUGCGCAAUGGGGGAAACCCUGACGCAGCAACGCCGCGUGGAGGAUGAAAUAUCUUGGUAUGUAAACUCCUUUCGAUGGGGAAGAUUAUGACGGUACCCAUAGAAGAAGCCCCGGCUAACUUCGUACCAGCAGCCGC